GAGGACCCUUCAGAAGCUCAGUAUAAAUAUAAUACUCGUGACAAUGGGCAAAUCACUUACCUGGACGGGGUCAACUCGUGAUCAAAAAGACGAGUGGCCUAGGCUAGUGGCUUCCAUUGCACUGAGGAAGGGCGCUUAGCUUAAAGUCUUCCCAAGUGGAAGAGCUUACGUCAUUAUUUGUGGCAGCGGGGGUUUGCGUCCGCGCAGCCCCCACCAAAGUUUCAGUGAAACUCUUAUGUGUCAUAUAGCAGAGUUUGGGUUACAGUUGAAGCAAAAUGUUGUUCAAGCAGAACACUGGUGCCAUUAGUGUGUGGCUUAUUUGAUAAUGAAACUAAGAGCGACUUCAAGAACCUCAAGAUUCAAACUUUAGAAAAAACGUGCAGGUUGGUGUACUUGACGUGUGCGUCUCCGUUCGUUUUCACCAUCAUAACAGAGAUCUUUUACACUAUAUGUGUGUUUUAUAACAGAGAUCUCUUGCUACUGAUCUCCUAUACCUAUCUAUAGAGCUACGCAAGAAACAGUCUCCUUAUUUGAAACGCUUGAGACCACAAAAAGAGAGAGUCCAGUAGACCAAACACCCUAGACUGCUACGAUGCUGUAGCUCAUCAUCUUUAGAAUUUUUGUUCUGUCUGCAGCUGCGCUUUUGUCUAUAUGAUGAAUAUUCAUAGAUUCUCAUCAGGAUGGAGCGGACAGAGAUAAAUCUCAACGGAAGCAGAUCUAUAGCAGAAGAUGAUGAAUUUGAUGAUAUAUUAAGCAUCAGAUGAGCAAAAGAUCAAAAAGAGUGAGGAAAUAUCACUAUAGAGGGAAGAAAGAGAUUCAGCAGGCAGAACGUACACAGAGAAAUGGAAGUAUGGUUAUGUGUGGCGUCUGUUCUUGUCAUCCUCUGCUUCAUCAUAUGACAGUGCUCUUUCUCUAGUUCAUCAUGUGAAAACAGGAGGGCGCCUCUCUGACACAGUUGGGAGGGAUUAAAAAAUAUUUAAACGGGGUGUUCCGAGAAUCGAACUCGGGACCUCUCGCACCCGAAGCGAGAAUCAUACCACUAGACCAAACACCCUAGACUGAUAGCUAAUAGCGUUAGAUUAAAAACAUACGUUCCUGUAUUCCUGUAAAAAACAUA